UCCCUGGUGGCUCAGAUGGUAAAGAAUCGGCCUGCAAUGCAGGAGACCCGGGUUCAAUUCCUGGUCAGGAAG
rnacentral:tRNA from 1 species